rnacentral:rRNA from 1 species
AACGAACGUUAGCGGCGCGCCUAACACAUGCAAGUCGAGCGAGAAAGGGGCAACCCCGGUAAAGCGGCGCACGGGUGAGUAACACGUAGGUAAUCUACCCUCGGGGUGGAGGAUAACUUUUCCGAAAGGAAGGCUAAUACUGCAUGAGACCACGGUUCCGGAAGGGAUUGAGGUCAAAGCCGGCCACUGUACACAAGCUGGCGCCUGAGGAUGAGCCUGCGGCCCAUCAGCUAGUUGGUAGGGUAAUGGCCUACCAAGGCGAAGACGGGUAGCUGGUCUGAGAGGAUGAUCAGCCACACUGGAACUGAGACACGGGUCCAGACUCCUACGGGAGGCAGCAGUGGGGAAUCUUGCGCAAUGGGGCAAAGGCCUGACGCAGCGACGCCGCGUGAGUGAUGAAGGCCUUC